UACGUAGGGUGCAAGCGUUUAAUCGGAAUUACUGGGCGUAAAGCGUGCGCAGGCGGUUGUGCAAGACCGAUGUGAAAUCCCCGGGCUUAACCUGGGAAUGGCAUUGGUGACUGCACGGCUAGAGUGUGUCAGAGGAGGGUAGAAUUCCACGUGUAGCAGUGAAAUGCGUAGAGAUGUGGAGGAAUACCGAUGGCGAAGGCAGCCCCCUGGGAUAACACUGACGCUCAU
rnacentral:rRNA from 1 species